UCGCACUUUAAUCAUUGUUCAGUAAUAAUUUUGAUUAGUUUUUUGAACAGAUUUCGAAGGCUUCAGUUUAUAAUAAUCCAUAAUAAUAAUAAUCAAGUUUGGCAUUUCUACUUGAUAAUGCAAAUAUGUUCAACAAAAUAGGUACAUGCCAGACUUCACGCUUGAUGAGUGGCACCCGUAGCUUGUAUGACAAGAAUGUUUGAUAAUAGUUAUAAUAACGCGAUCUCUUCCGUCACUCCAUUUGUUUGACGUUGAAAAGCUUGAGUUCACCAAAAUUUCAACGCUGGCCUCUUGAACUGUUGGAGAUUUCUACAAGAAGGUAGUAUAAGUGACGUGAUCUGAGAUCAAGUACAGCGUGGGCUCGCGACAUCCGCCCGGCAAGAUUGCUGAUAAUCUGGACAGCGACCUCUUAGAGUCAACUCUUCAACUUAAUCAUCAAAACAUUCAACAAAUGCGUUUCUGACACUUUCUUAUACAACAGACGUUGAGCUUUCGGUCUUUAAUAGCAUUUCAAAAACGGAAUAGAUCCCAACCAUAGAAUUGAGUCUUAUUGAGGAAGAGAUUGAGUUGCGUUAUUAAUUUCUUUGAUUUGUAUCUUGGUUCUUAACUUGCUCAAUAUUUUUUAAUAUUUCACAACUCUCACACUAAUCAUUUUUACAUAUGCUUUCACAUUUCGAAUAGUGUUUUUGGUGUACAUUCAAACACACUCAAUGCACUUUCAAAAAAUUAAAAAUAUACUAGAACAAAGCGUUAACGAGUGUUUCCAUUUGGUGUUGUGUAAUUUUUGUGAAGGGGUUUGCGCAGUCGUUCCCCUUUAUGGAUACUCUUGAUGUUGGUUUAGCGAAUUCGAAUAGAAGCGCGAUUUGUUUACGACGCCGUUCUUGUGGCUAUUUAUUUGCUCGGCCUGAAAUUAGUGGCACUUUGUUGUCAGUCCGGUGUCGUAAGAUGUGCAAGUUAUUCCAGUGGAAUUCACUUUACAGAGGCGGUUAUUCGCUGUGCAGAUUUAAAUU